rnacentral:rRNA from 1 species
UACGGGGGGGGCAAGCGUUUUUCGGAAUUACUGGGCGUAAAGGGCUCGUAGGUGGCCAACUAAGUCGGACGUGAAAUCCCUCGGCUUAACCGGGGAACUGCGUCCGAUACUGGUUGGCUUGAGUUUGGGAGAGGGAUGCGGAAUUCCAGGUGUAGCGGUGAAAUGCGUAGAUAUCUGGAGGAACACCGGUGGCGAAGGCGGCAUCCUGGACCAAUACUGACGCUGAGGAGCGAAAGCCAGGGGAGCAAACGGG